GACCGCCUUUGGGGAAAGAGGAGGAGGCGGCGGCGGAGGAGGAGGCUGCCUUGGCUCGUGCCGCGCUCUGCCUCCGCCUCCUCUCCUCCUCCGCUUCCCCGCCCUCCCGCCUCCUUUUUCUCUCAGUGCUCCGCGGGCAGAGCCAGAGGAAAGGGGCAUUUCUCUCACUCAGGACUGCGGGAAGAGAACCCUGCGCAAUAACACCCACCUGACAUGAAAAAAGGCGGCAUAUACUAUCAAGGCUAGGGAGACGGACGGGCUUUCUUCACGGAGGUGGAGAGAGUCCCAAACUGCUCCUUUCGCUCUUCCUGAAGAAACAGAAACUUCGCUAUUCCCUCGCCCGUCUCCAAGCGAAGGUGGAGAGCCAGGCUCCCACUCGGAUGCAGGGCUCUCCUGAAGAAACUUGGCUUCAGAGAGGAGUGAAGCAUUGCAACGCAGCCGUGGCUUUGCUGCGAGGCAGAGCUUAUCUUUCCCCCCUCGUAGCAAAAUACAAAACAGGGCUCUCUUUUCCUCGCUUUGUGAGGAAAGCAACAUGAGGGAGGAUCGCUUUCGUCGAAAGUUUUGAAGGUUUUGUUUUGGAGGGAAAACGUGGAGAGGGCAAACUCAAAGCAAGUUCCUGCACCGCUUUUUGAGUGUUAGGCGGGAUACUUGUCUGGGUUUUCCUCCCCUUUUGGCGGGAAAAGGUGAGGGAAAGGGCGAUGUCGUCGGCUGCUCCCGACGACUUGGACUCCGAGGCGGUGGAAAACUUCCUGGACAGGCACCCGGAGUUGGUGGAGAAGUGGCUGAAGAAGAAGCAGCAGCAGCGGGAGGCGCUGCCGGGGAGCAAGGCGCCCGAGGGGAGCUCCGGCGCCGUCCCGCUGGCGUGGGCCGAGGAGAGCGGGGCCCUGCACCGGCGCGCCUCGCAGAAGGAGCUGCGGCGGAGCUUCGCGCGCUCCAAGGCCAUCCCCGUGAACCGGACCUACGAGGAGCCCGGCCGCGCGCGGGCCCAGGAGCCGUCCCUCCGGAGCGCGCGCCGCCGGGCCCUCCUGCGCAAGGCCAGCUCGCUCCCGCCCACCACGGCCCACAUCCUCAGCGCCCUGCUCGAGUCGCGCGUCAACCCGCCCGCCUGCCCGCCCACCGCCCUGGACUACAAGCGCCAGCUCAAGCAGCACAACGAGCGGCAGUUCUUCCUCGAGCUGGUCAAGGACAUCUCCAACGAGCUCGACCUCCGCGCCCUCAGCUACAAGAUCCUCAUCUUCGUCUGCCUCAUGGUCGACGCCGACCGCGGCUCCCUCUUCCUCGUCGAGGCCGGCGCCGCGGGCAAGAAGAGCCUCGUCUCCAAGGUCUUCGACGUGCACGCCGGGACCCCGCUGCUCCCUUGCUGCUGCUGCGGGGGCGCCGCCGAGGACGCCAACGAGGCCCAGGUGCCCUGGGGAAAGGGCAUCAUCGGCUACGUGGCCGAGCACGGGCAGACCGUCAACCUCCCCGACGCCUACCAGGAUCGCCGCUUUAAUGAUGAGAUCGACAAGUUAACAGGAUACAAGACUAAGUCCUUGCUUUGCAUGCCCAUAAGAAGCAGUGAUGGUGAGAUUAUUGGAGUUGCACAGGCAAUCAAUAAAACUCCUGGAGGUGCUCCUUUCACUGACGAUGAUGAAAAAGUAAUGGAAAUGUAUCUUCCAUUCUGUGGUAUUGCCAUCUCUAAUGCUCAGCUGUUUGCUGCUUCCAGAAAGGAAUACGAUAGAAGCAGGGCCUUGCUGGAGGUGGUUAAUGAUCUCUUUGAAGAACAGACAGACUUAGAGAAAAUUGUGAAGAAAAUUAUGCAUCGAGCCCAGACGCUAUUAAAGUGUGAGCGCUGCUCAGUAUUGCUUCUCGAAGACAUUGAAUCACCAGUGGUGAAAUUUACCAAAUCCUUUGAGCUGAUGUCUCCAAAAUGCAGUGCAGAUACAGAGAAUAGUUUCAAAGACAGUUUGGAGAAAACAUCUUCAUCGUAUUCAGACUGGCUAGUAAAUAAUAGCAUUGCUGAACUUGUAGCCUCCACGGGCCUCCCAGUGAACAUCAGUGAUGCAUAUCAGGAUCCUCGUUUUGAUGCAGAAGCUGAUCAAAUUUCUGGUUUUCAUAUAAGAUCUGUUCUUUGUGUCCCUAUAUGGAAUAGCAGUCACCAGAUUAUUGGUGUAGCUCAAGUACUGAACAGGCUGGAUGGGAAACCUUUUGAUGAUGCUGAUCAGCGACUUUUUGAGGCUUUUGUUAUAUUUUGUGGCUUGGGCAUCAACAAUACUAUAAUGUAUGACCAAGUGAAGAAAUCCUGGGCAAAGCAAUCUGUUGCUCUUGAUGCAGCGAACCUUCCACUUGUGACAGAGCUUGGCAUAGAUGACAUCCAUUUUGAUGACUUCUCCCUCGACAUGGACGCAAUGAUAACUGCAGCCCUCCGGAUGUUCAUGGAGCUUGGAAUGGUUCAGAAAUUUAAAAUUGACUAUGAGACGCUGUGUAGGUGGCUUUUGACAGUGAGGAAGAAUUAUCGAAUGGUACUCUAUCACAACUGGAGGCAUGCUUUCAAUGUUUGCCAGCUAAUGUUUGCCAUGUUAACUACUGCAGGAUUUCAGGAGAUUCUGACAGAAAUCGAAAUUUUAGCCUUGAUUGUGGGAUGUUUAUGUCAUGACCUUGAUCACAGGGGGACCAACAAUGCCUUUCAAGCCAAGAUCGGAUCUGCUUUGGCUCAGCUCUACGGGACUUCUGCUACUCUGGAGCACCAUCAUUUUAAUCAUGCAGUCAUGAUUAUUCAGAGUGAGGGUCACAACAUCUUUGCUAACUUGUCCUCCAAGGAUUACAGUGACCUUAUGCAGCUCCUGAAGAAGUCAAUAUUGGCAACAGACCUCACUCUCUAUUUUGAGAAGAGGGCUGAGUUUUUUGAACUUGUCAACAAAGGUGACUACAACUGGAACAUUAAAUCUCAGCGAGAGAUAUUCCGAUCAAUGCUAAUGACAGCCUGCGACCUUGGAGCUGCAACCAAACCGUGGGAGAUUUCAAGACAGGCAAGUCAUGAUUAAUGGCAGGGCAAGAAAGAGGAGGUACUGAUGCAGCCGUUUUCCCAGGAACCUGACAUGGAAGGGCCAGAUCUGCAAUCGAUUUACAACAGGAUUGCUGCUUUUAAAAACAGCACCGAUUUUCUGCUCAGUGUAGUUUAUUAGCCAGGAGGUUUGUUGCUCUUGUUUCUGGGAUGGCCCUAAGUAAUAUUAGAGCAUCUGACUCUGUAAGCACAGUGCCAUGGUCGAGUCUUCAAAAAUAAGACUUCAAAAGAGAACUGGAACGUCUAAUUAUUUUGUGACGGUCCCUAAUGAUUCCUCUAAUCACAAAAUGUUGAAGACAAGUGCUUUGUUUCAUUGGAUAUUUCUCAAAUCAAUGCAUCAUCACUGUUGUUUAAGACAAUUUCUGGGAACAGUCAAAACCUUCCUAACAGCAAAAAAAAAGUUAUUUUUAAAGUCACAGAAAGAAGAUGUGAGAUGGUAAAAUGGAUGCACAAUUAUUUCAUCCAAUAUCAGAUCAGUAUGUAAAACUAUUAUAUACACACAUGCUCACCCAUACACACUGUGACUAGGAAGGUCUUUGGAGAUAGAGAUUGCUGGACCUAUAGGCCUACCCCAUCCCUCAGGCCCCUUCUACACUGCCAUAUAAUCAAGUUAAUCAAAGCAGAUAAACCACAUCAUCUGCUUUGAAGGGGGUUCUACACUGUUAUAUAUACCAGUUUAAAGCACAAAAUCUGGAUUUUAUAUGGCAGUGUAGAAGGGACCUGAGAGGCAGGAAAACAAUGCUACUCCUUUUGGCCAGAUGUACCCUUCUUCACACAGUGCAUAGUUAAACAAUGGAAUUUGUUACCACAAGUUAUAUCCCACCAGUGUAUCCUGUAUAAACAAAUUCCAGAGUUUAGCUGUACACCAUGUGAAGAAUUACUUUGUUCCUUUCUGUCCACUUUUAUUUGCCAUCAGGAUAUUACUCUAUUUGCAAAAUAGCACUACUCUAUGCUUUCACUGAAAGUGUAUAAAAAUAGCCUGAAGUCAAUUAUGAUUAACUUUGAAGGAUAUUUCCUUUUUCCAGAAGUUAUUCACACAUAUCUUUACCUUUAUUUCAUUUAGAUUUAUUAUUAAACCCACCUUGAAGGCCAAUUAAAUCAAUAAAAAUGAUAAAACAUCACAAAACGUUGAAACUAUUUUAAUUGCCACUCAAAACUAGAUGUUCAUGAGCAACUGAGAUAUAUAAUGAUAUGAGGAUUUGUGUUGACAGACCUGGAUAGGGAUAUACAUACUUCCAUAUUACUGGUUUACUGAACCCUUCGUGGAGGUGCCGAGAAUAGAAUCUGGACUUUUUGGGGUCAAAUUAUGUAACCUAUCACUUUUACUCAAAACCUAUCUGUGUUGUAACCCCAUAUGCACAACAUGGCGGAUCGCAUGGACUAACUUCCACCUGGCAGUAGUAGCAUACAAAGGCUUCACAAUGCUGGGAUUUACUCGCAGUGAAGAAAGCUUUGGCAGCAAUCUAUAUUUCCCUUCUCCCUCCUGAGGUCAAUGGCACUUUGCAAAUUGUUUUCACAAAGCUAGAUUUAUUUGCCCAGAUGGAGCUAGAUAUAAUAGUUCCUUUCCCUCUUUCACAUUUCACUGAACAAGUCAGGGCCCUUGGACAUCAUGGUUUUUCCAUUCUCAUCUCAAUUCCCAUGAAGGGAUCCCCAUGAGAUUACACUGUGUGCAUAGUGCUGACAUAAAUUUAUGAAGUGAAUUCAAGCAUACAUAGAAAUUCACUUCCUGUAAUCAAUAGCAUGCAUACUUGUCUCCAAUCACACAAAAAAUGUAAAGAGGGUAUUGGCAGGCCAGUAUACCCUCAAGGCACCAGAUCCCAUCAAAUCUUGAAAGCUAAACAGGGUUAGCUCUGGUUAGUGCUUGGGUGGGAGACCCACAACAAAACCCAGGUGCUCUAAUAUCAGGCAGUUCUUGGGUUGAACCUAAUCCUAACUGCACUAUUGUGUUAGCUUUCUUCAAAAUCUAUGCAUUUAGUUGUAAUAAUACCACUACUGUUUGGGAGCAUUUGUAUUAGCUCAUGAUGAGUAGGCUUUUGGACUGUUCUGACAUUUUGCCAUUGAGUCAUCAAGUACUGUUAAGUAAUGAUAAGCUUAAUCUCCAUUCUUAAUUUGGCAGUUGCAUUAAAAAUAUGUUAUUUUUCUCAAGUAGAAUAAAGCCGAAUACAUUUUUUAUUCCUGUUUUAGGUAGCUGAACUGGUAACCAGUGAGUUCUUUGAACAAGGAGACAGAGAAAGAUCUGAGCUCAAACUUACACCUUCUGCUAUUUUUGAUCGGAACAGGAAAGAUGAACUGCCUCGAUUGCAGCUGGAAUGGAUUGAUAGCAUCUGCAUGCCUCUCUAUCAGGUUUUGGUAAAAGUAAAUGGAAAACUGAAGCCCAUGCUGGAUUCAGUGGUGGUCAAUAGAAGGAACUGGGAGGAACUGCACCAACAGAGAUUGCUUUCCAAGGCAGCAGCGACAGAACCAACAAAAUCCUCCUCCUCAUCAUCCUCUUCCUCCCAAUCUGCUAAGUGUCCAAAGGACAUAAAUUAAGUCAGCAUCUGUUUCAUGCUGCUAGCACAAGACCCUUCAGAAAAGCUGGCAAAAGCUUAGUCUCAUACAUUUCACCAAACAAAAACAAAUCUUUUAUCAUAAACAUUCUUAACAGGAUGGUCUGGCUUUUUCACUAGAAGUUUCCUUGGUUUUUGAGAUUCUGCAGUAAGACUUCGUAGUUUCUGCAGUAAUGUGAAAAGCUUGGUGAAGUCUGUGUUUGAUUGGCUUUUUUCAACUGCUGCUAUGGACACUCACACACUCAGUCACAAAGGACUGACAUAACUGGAAUUUACAGCUAUUGAAAUUAACUGUGAAAACAUGAUUGAAAUCCCGCCCCCAUCAAGGCAUCUAUAAGGGGAUCUGGAGGGCAAAACAGAGAAUAUAGUGUAAUAAUGGCCUGGGUUUGCAUCUCUCUAGUAUUUGCUAAUAUGAACCCGUUAUACCUGCUUUUGUGAUGUUUAUCCUUUCAGUCCUUUUUCUUUUAUGCUGUAAUGUUCAAGGAAGCCUUCUUUGCAUUUUACUGACAAUUUUUUAAAAACAACAAAGUUUCUUUAUUGAUCAAGGUUUUUAGAAUUGCCUAUCUUUGCUAAAAGUAAGUGGGGGGGAUUUAACUUUAUUACGUUUAAAACUAUCAACCUGCUCUAGCUUCCUUACGAGUUUCAUAUUAGCAAUGCAGCUUGGAUUGCUCUGCAGGCAGAAGCUUAUGUAAAGGUAAAAUUUCUGCAUGAUAAUUUGGGUUCUUUUAGGAUUUGUUUUAAAGCAUUUUGAAAGCUGCUUUGCACACCUAAGAAGAGAACCAAUGGUAUAUCAUGAAAAUUACAUAAUAAAAAUGAAAUAUGUUGCCUUCUGGUAGAGAAUUUGCACUAUAGGAUAUGAACAUGGCUUUCUAGUACAUUUUCUUAAACACAUAACUUUGACUAUUACUGUUAAGGAUUGGGGUGGCACUGGAAUAUGUCACAAAAAGAGCAAUGACUACCUCUGCUUUUUCUGACCAGUUAACUUACUUUCUUUUUUUUAUAACAACAUGUUAGUCUAAUAUGUUGUGUCUAACAGAAAUCUAGUCAAAAUUUGCAUGUGCUGGGAAAUGGUGAAAAUGUUUGCAUGCAAAAUGUGAAUUGCAUUUGAUAGACACCAAAGUGAGAUCUAUUCAUCUAUGUUGGAAAUUAACUCACUUCUCCUUAGCAUGACACUACUUUCCCCAGUUUUCCCCCCAUGUUGAUGUGAGAAGCUGCUGGACUUUUGCUCUGUAAUCAGAUUUGGCACGAAAUGGUUUCAUUGACUGUAACUAACAUAGGCUGGAUCUAUAUUGCUAAAUAAUGCCGUUUGAACUACAAUGGACUGCAUUAUAUUGGUUUAUAGUGACCAUAUUAAACAGUUCAAACUGUAUUAUUUCACAUUGUAGAUCCAGUCUUGAAAAAAUAUGAGCACCUGAUCCAACAAUUCUUUGAUUCCCCAUGGUAUCAGGGAUUCUGUUAUGCUUCCUGGGAGCAAGGCUGGAUGGAGACCUGACCAAGACAUUAGCUGGGCAGUUAGGAUGGAGGAAACGGAAUGAAAUGCACUCACGGCCCUUCCAGACAGGAUCUGAUCCCAGGUUUUCUGUUUAUCCCAGAUUAUCUGGCAGUGCGAAGGGCCCUCAGUGGGAAAUCCAAGCGCCAGCUGAAUGGCCCUCAUUCCUUCUCCACCCACUUUCUAAGAAAGCUGAGAAUUGCAGCCCUCUCAGCUGAUGUUUCAAGAAGAGCAAGAAUGCAUCUCAUCUUUACCUUGGGAAACUCAAGGAAGGAGGAAAUGGACACCUAAAGCUUUGAAACCAUAACUCAGUUCCCACCUGUCUACUUGUUCUUUAUAAAGGAGUAGGUCUUCAGUAAGAAGGCCUACUCCUUUGAGUAGACAGCUCCAUGAGCUGGAUGGCCAAAUUUCAUUCAUAGGGAAAAGGUUCCCCAUGCCUGGUUUAAUGUGUGUGUGGACACACACACAGUACAAAGAUGUCCACAGGAGGAAAAAAAGAGCUAUUCCCUCUUUUGCAACUUAAUUUGUUGAGACUAUGGAUGUCAAUCUAGUCUUGUGUAGGGGUGUAUUCACACAGUAGAAAUAAUGGAGUUUGACAGUACAUUAGUCUUGGUUGAAUGCAGCAGAAUCAUAGGACUUUCAGUUUUACAGUCUUUAUCACAACUACACAAUGAGAUAAAGACUCAUGAUUCCCUAGCAGUCGCACACACAGUUAAAAUAGUGUUUGACUAACCUAAUUCUUUGGUGUAAAUUGAAUUUAGAAGUAAACAGAACUGCAGAGCUAGGUUCCAACAUAGCAGAGAACAGAAUGAGUACGUUAUGCCUUCUUGAUAUUUCUUUGGAGUAAUGCAUAUUUUUGUGCUAUGUUCCGGUUCUCUGUGAGGCCCUUUCUACAUGGCGAAUGAAGGGACCAAGCUGUGGUAACAAAGUCCCUAGCUGAAUACUUCUUGAAACGAGUGAAUGGCAUCCAUUCAGUUAUAUGGGAAAGAUAGGGAGUUUCAGGGAGCACCAGAGAGGCAAGGAAGUUAACUUUCCUCCUUUACCCAUCCAGUCUGGCAUGCAGAGAAUCAAAGUCAUUUUCAUAAGGUAAAGGUUUCCCCUGACGUUAAGUCCAGUCAUGUCUGACUCUGGGGGUUGGUGCUCAUCUCCAUUUCUAAGCUGGAGAGCCGGCGUUGUCCGUAGACACCUCCAAGGUCAUGUGGCUGGCAUGACUUCAUGGAGCGCCGUUACCUUUUCAUUUUCAUGGCUCCCCCUUUUCAUUUGCAUAGCUGCACCAGGUCAGGUAUACUGUAUAUGAGAUGGAAUAUUUAGAAAGUACUUUAACAUGGAACAUGGGAAUAAAUAAUGUUAACCAUUAUUAGAGUGCAUUUGAUCCCUGGAAGCUGUUGCAUUGAUUGGGUCUCAUAAGGAGACGAGAGAGAUUUGAGUGUGGAAAAACGUUGAAAGAGUAGCUUUUUCUCUGUCUUUUUGCCAUCAACUUCUGUGCUGAAAUGUAGCAUACAAUGUGAAAGAUACAAAACUAGAAAGGAGCACUGUGUCACAUUCUGAUUUUCACGAUCUACUAUUCUGGCAUAGAGAUUGUGGGAGUUAUGACCCAAGAUAUAACCUUUCCAGGGUUUUGGAAAUACUUGAAAGAGCCACUGGUGUUCAGAUUAGACAGUACUUAGACAAGUAUUUUGUUGUCCUUUGUGUUGCUCUAAGGCUGGAUCUACACUGCCAUAUAAUACAGUUCAAGGCAGAUAAUUUGGAUUUUAUAUGGCAGUGUAGAAGGGACCUGAUUUACAGUUUCCAUCUGAAGCCAGAGUGCAUCUACACCAAAACACCUGCCCAUGGUAAAGGUAAAGGUUUUUCCCUGACAUUAAGUCUACUCGUUUCUGACUCUGGAGGUUGAUGCUCAUCUCCAUUUCUAAGCCAAAGAGCUGGUGUUGUCCGUAGACACCUCCAAGGUCGUGGCUGGCAUGACUGCAUGGAGCACUGUUACUUUCCUGCCAAGGUGGUACCUAUUGAUCUACUCAUAUUUGCGUGUUUUUGAAUUGCUAGGAUGUCAAAAGCUGAGGCUAACAGCGGGAGCUCACCCUACUCCCCAGAUUCAAUCCGCCAUUCUUUUGAUCAUAUUACACUUCUGGGAGCUGUAGUUUGGCAGAGAAGAGUAAAGGCCUAAAUAUACUACAUUGAUUCUGCAAUGUAGAUGUACCAUGAGUGUAAAGCCCCUCCUACACCGCCAUAUAAAAUCCAGAUUAUCUAAUUUAAACUGGAUUCUGUGGUAGUGUAGACUCAUAUAAUCCAGUAAAAGCAGAUAAUGUGGAUUGCUAUCUUUGAUAAUUUGGAUUAUAUGGCAGUGUAGAAGGGACCUAAAUUGGCCUCAGUUUUUGGUCCAAAUCAUUCAUUCACACAUACACACCAUCGACAAGCUGAUUCUUUGUACUAUCUCUAGCGUACUGAAGAGCUUUGGAGAACUCCAAACAGAAUUUAUCUUCCAUUUUAGUUGGCAUUGACUGCCUGGAUUUUCGAGCUCAAUUAUUUUGUAUUUCACCAGAGUAGUAGAACAGAUAGGAAAAAGGGGGAAUCCAUAGGACUACUGGGAUGAAUACAUGCACUGUUUGGCUUUUGUUUCCAUUCCUCCGCCAUUACUUCCACGCUCCCUUUCCCCCUCAUAAUGAAUCCAUGUGGCUUAUUUAUAUAAUAUGUGCUUUAUGGGGGCAAAUAGACACUGUGAUUGACUUGGUCCUGCUGGCUGGCCCAUAAAGCUUUCCUGAGUUUUGAUAUGAGGACCUAUUGCUAAGUGUGACAUAAUUUAUAGCACAUAACCUACAGCUUCCUCCCAAGGUUGAGCCCCCCCCCCCAUUCCCUCUCUUUUUUAUGGGUCUCAGCACAUGGUUGCCCCUGGCAACGGCAGUGCGGGGAAAGCAGCGCUCACUGCAAGGCUGACAGGCCUCGGAGGCCCUGGCAAUGUCAACCAUCCAUCACACGACUAUUUGUAAUUGCCUCCAUCUAUUUCUCAUGUCUCCCGGUAUCUAGUCUUACUGCAGAUCCAAAAUGCAGGAACUGCUGACUAAUCUUGUGGGUUCCUUUCCCCAAAGAUUGCACACAAACAGGGAGGCAACUCCUACUUCUUGUCUAGGUCUGACUUUCUCUGUGGACUUGGUGUAGAUGCAUACACCCCAGGCAUGGGCAAACUUGACCCAUCCGGGUGUUUUGAACUUCUGGUAGGCUGUUAGGAACUGUGAGAGUUGAAGUCCAAAACACCCAGAGGACCCAAGUUUGCCCAUGCCUGAUCUAAACUGUGUAGAGUAAUGCAAUUUGACACCACUUUAACUUCCAUGACUCAAUGUACUCACUUCUGGGAGCUGUAGUUCGGCAGAGAAGAGUAAAGGCCUUGUUAAGUUACAACUCCCAUGAUUCCUUAGCAUCGAACCAUGGAAGUUCAAGCUGUGUGCACUAUAAAAUGCAUAUUCUGUGGCAUUUGCAUUGGUGUAACUCUUUGUGUUUCUUCACCCCUGCCCUUUUCAAACUGGUGGCUCUACUGGCUUGCCUUAGCUCACCCAGCAAUCCCAACUCGACUUUUUUAACGGCAUGAUUUUGCAAUGGGUAACUUGGGUUUGUUUAUCACAGUAAAUAAAUGAAUAAAUCAUGAAAUCAA